GGAAGUCUUCGGCAAUGGGGGCGAACCCUGACCGAGCAACGCCGCGUGAGUGAAGAAGGUUUUCGGAUCGUAAAGCUCUGUUGUAAGAGAAGAACGUGUGUGAGAGUGGAAAGUUCACACAGUGACGGUAACUUACCAGAAAGGGACGGCUAACUACGUGCCAG
rnacentral:rRNA from 1 species